rnacentral:lncRNA from 1 species
AAAUAAACUUAAACUCUUCUUCAACUAAAUCUUCUUGCAGCAUCAUCAAAACAAAAGUCUUCAAGAUUUCCCAAUACUCCUUAUUGGUAACAAUCUCCCCCUUUUUGAUGAUGAUCAAAAAUACUGUUUUAAAAGCAACUUUGGCUGUCCUGCAAAAACAUACAAUCUAACAAACAACAAUAGAGUUAAGCAAUACCUGUAUUUUAUGCUUCUUCCCUUAAAUUAUGUUACUCCCCCUUUUUGAUCAUAAACAAAAAGAUUAACGUAAAGAGCUCCCCCUAAAUAUGAUCUCCCCC